rnacentral:rRNA from 1 species
UUUUAAAUGGCCGCAGUAUUUUGACUGUGCAAAGGUAGCAUAAUCAUUAGUUUUUUAAUUAAAAGCUUGUAUGAAAGGCUGGACGAGGUAAAAUCUGUCUCUAUUUAAAUUAUAAUAGAAUUUAACUUUUAAGUUAAAAGGCUUAAAUAUUAUUAAAAGACGAGAAGACCCUAUAGAUCUUUAUAAUUUAUUAAAUAAAAUUUAUUUAGAAUUAUUUAUGUUUUAUUUAAUUAAAUUAUUUAAUUGGGGUAAUUGAAAGAUUGAAUUAAUUCUUUUUUGUUAUAAACAUUAAUUUAUGAAUAUUAAAUGAUCCAGUUUUACUGAUUAUAAGAUUAAGUUACCUUAGGGAUAACAGCGUAAUUUUUUUAGAGAGUUCAUAUCGAUAAAAAAGUUUGCGACCUCGAUGUUGGAUUAAAGAUUAUUUUAGGUGUAGAAGCUUAAUAAUUUUGGUCUGUUCGACCAUUAAAUCUUUACAUGAUCUGAGUUCAGACCGGCGUAAGCCAGGUCGGUUUCUAUCUUUAAUAAAAUAAAAUAUUUUAGUACGAAAGGACCAAGUAUUUGAUAUAUUUAUAUUUAGUUAAUUGAAUAUUA